rnacentral:rRNA from 1 species
UACGGAGGGGGUUAGCGUUGUUCGGAAUGACUGGGCGUAAAGCGCGCGUAGGCGGGCUGGAAAGUUGGGGGUGAAAUCCCGGGGCUCAACCCCGGAAUGGCCUUCAAAACUCCCAGCCUAGAGUUCGAGAGAGGUGAGUGGAAUUCCGAGUGUAGAGGUGAAAUUCGUAGAUAUUCGGAGGAACACCAGUGGCGAAGGCAGCCCCCUGGGUCAAGAUUGACGCUCAUGCACGAAAGCGUGGGGAGCAAACAGG